rnacentral:misc_RNA from 1 species
GAUGAGAACGUAGCGAAAUGCGAUAAGUAAUGUGAAUUGCAGAAUUCAGUGAAUCAUCGAAUCGUUGAACGCACAUUGCGCCCCCUGGUAUUCCGGGGGGCAUGCCUGUCCGAGCGUCAUUACAACCCUCAAGCUCAGCUUGGUGUUGGGCCCCGCCGCCCCGGCGGGCCCUAAAGUCAGUGGCGGUGCCGUCCGGCUCCGAGCGUAGUAAUUCUUCUCGCUCUGGAGGUCCGGUCGUGUGCUCGCCAGCAACCCCCAAUUUUUUUCAGGUUGACCUCGGAUCAGGUAGGGAUACCCGCUGAACUUAAGCAUAUCAAUAAGCGGAGGA